rnacentral:rRNA from 1 species
GACGAACGCUGGCGGCGUGCUUAACACAUGCAAGUCGUACGGUAAGGCCCUUUCGGGGGUACACGAGUGGCGAACGGGUGAGUAACACGUGUGUAACCUGCCCACAACUUGGGGAUAACGCUAGGAAACUGGUGCUAAUUCUGGAUAUGUGCUCCUGCUGCAUGGUGGGGGUUGGUAAGAUCCGGCGGUUGUGGAUGGACUCGCGGCCUAUAAGCUUGUUGGUGGGGUAGUGGCCUACCAAGGCGGCGACGGGUAGCUGGCCUGAGAGGGUGACCGGCCACACUGGGACCGAGAGACGGCCCAGACUGCUAAGGGAGGAAGCAGGGGGGAAGAUUGCACAAUGGGCGCCAGCCGGGUGCAGAAACGCCGCGGGCUGGAAGACGGCCUUCGGGGUGUAAAACGCUUUCAGCAGGGACGAAGCUUUUUGUGACGGUACCUGCAGAAGAAGCACCGGCUAACUACGUG